rnacentral:rRNA from 1 species
UUGGACUUGAGUUUCUAACUCCCAAACCCAUGUGAACUUACCAUUGUUGCCUCGGCAGAGCCUACCCGGUACCUACCCUGGAACCAGCUACCCUGUAGCUACCCAGGGAUGGGCUACCUUGUAACGUCCUGCCGGUGGACUUCUAAACUCUUGUUAUUUAUAGUAAUCUGAGCGUCUUAUUUUAAUAAGUCAAAACUUUCAACAACGGAUCUCUUGGUUCUGGCAUCGAUGAAGAACGCAGCGAAAUGCGAUAAGUAAUGUGAAUUGCAGAAUUCAGUGAAUCAUCGAAUCUUUGAACGCACAUUGCGCCCAUUAGUAUUCUAGUGGGCAUGCCUGUUCGAGCGUCAUUUCAACCCUUAAGCCUAGCUUAGUGUUGGGAAUCUGCUGUAUUGCAGUUCCUCAAAUACAACGGCGGAUCUGUAACAUCCUCUGAGCGUAGUAAAUUUUUAUCUCGCUUUUGUUAGGUGUUGCAGCUCUCAGCCGCUAAACCCCCCAAUUUUUUUUGGUUGACCUCGGAUCAGGUAGGAAUACCCGCUGAACUUAAGCAUAUCAAUAAGCCGGAGGAAAUA